rnacentral:rRNA from 1 species
AACGAACGCUGGCGGCAGGCUUAACACAUGCAAGUCGAACGCCCCGCAAGGGGAGUGGCAGACGGGUGAGUAACGCGUGGGAAUCUACCGAGCCCUGCGGGAUAGCUCCGGGAAACUGGAAUUAAUACCGCAUGCGCCCUUCGGGGGAAAGAUUUAUCGGGGUUUGAUGAGCCCGCGUUGGAUUAGCUAGUUGGUGGGGUAAAGGCCUACCAAGGCGACGAUCCAUAGCUGGUCUGAGAGGAUGAUCAGCCACAUUGGGACUGAGACACGGCCCAAACUCCUACGGGAGGCAGCAGUGGGGAAUAUUGGACAAUGGGCGCAAGCCUGAUCCAGCCAUGCCGCGUGAGUGAUGAAGGCCUUAGGGUUGUAAAGCUCUUUCACCGGAGAAGAUAAUGACGGUAUCCGGAGAAGAAGCCCCGGCUAACUUCGUGCCAGCCGCCGCCGUAAAAC